GACGAACGCUGGCGGCGUGCCUAAUACAUGCAAGUAGAACGCAGUUGCGAACGGGUGAGUGACGCGUAGGUAACUGCCUGGUAGUGGGGGGUGAUUAUUGGUAACGACAGCUAAUACUGCAUACUACUAGAUGGACCUGCGUUGUAUUAGCUAGUUGGUGGGGUGACGGCUCACCAAGGCAACGAUCCAUAGUCGGCCUGAGAGGGUGAUCCGCCACCAUGGGACUGGGACACGGCCCAGACUCCUACGGGAGGGAGCAGUAGGGAAUCUUCGGCAAUGGACGGAAGGCUGACCGAGCAACGGCGCGGGAGUGAAGAAAGGUUUCGGGGCGUAAAGCUCUGUUGUAAGAGAAGCGGUAUCUUACCAGAAAGCGACGGCUAACUACGUGCCAGCAGCCGCGGUAAUUC
rnacentral:rRNA from 1 species